rnacentral:rRNA from 1 species
UCCAACUUGAGAGUUUGAUCCUGGCUCAGAGCGAACGCUGGCGGCAGGCCUAAUACAUGCAAGUCGAGCGGGCGUAGCAAUACGUCAGCGGCAGACGGGAGAGUAACACGUGGGAACGUGCCCUUCAGUUCGGAACAACCCAGGGAAACUUGGGCUAAUACCGGAUAAGCCCUUACGGGGAAAGAUUUAUCGCUGAAGGAUCGGCCCGCGUCUGAUUAGCUAGUUGGUGAGGUAACGGCUCACCAAGGCGACGAUCAGUAGCUGGUCUGAGAGGAUGAUCAGCCUCACUGGGACUGAGACACGGCCCAGACUCCUACGGGAGGCAGCAGUAGGGAAUAUUGGACAAUGGGGGCAACCCUGAUCCAGCCAUGCCGCGUGAGUGAUGAAGGCCCUAGGGUUGUAAAGCUCUUUCGGCGGGGAAGAUAAUGACGGUACCCGCAUAAGAAGCCCCGGCUAACUUCGUGCCAGCAGCCGCGGUAAUACGAAGGGGGCUAGCGUUGCUCGGAAUCACUGGGCGUAAAGCGCACGUAGGCGGACUCUUAAGUCGGGGGUGAAAUCCUGGAGCUCAACUCCAGAACUGCCUUCGAUACUGAGAGCCUUGAGUCCGGGAGAGGUGAGUGGAACUGCGAGUGUAGAGGUGAAAUUCGUAGAUAUUCGCAAGAACACCAGUGGCGAAGGCGGCUCACUGGCCCGGUACUGACGCUGAGGUGCGAAAGCGUGGGGAGCA